AAAACAGAGAUGAGUCAUUAGGAUGUCACGAAUUACAUUGUGUGUUUAUUUAUGCAGUAAUUAUUAUUCAACAUGUCCUCACCUGGGAUUUGAACUCACAACCUCUUGGUUCACAGCAUUCCGAUCUUCCUGUUACGCCUCCAUGACUCUGUCAAUAGCUGAUUUAACCUGUAUGCCUACACUUUGAACUGCAAAGUAAAUCUCAGCUUUGUUAAAAAUAAAAUAAAACAAUAAAAAUGAUUAUAUUUAUCAUAGUGAUUCAGUAGUAACAUUAAAACAGAAUAAAUCCUCCAACAUUAGUCAGAUUAACAGCACUCAGAUGGUAUUAUUUUGCUAAAUGCAGAGAUGUAUUAUAGGUAAUGACUGCGUAGGGAUGUUUUAUAGGUAUUGACUGUGUAGGGAUGUUUUAUAGGUAAUGACUGUGUAGGGGUGUUUUAUAGGUCAUGACUGUGUAGAGAUGUUUUGUAGGUCAUGACUGUGUAGAGAUGUUUUAUAGAUAAUGAAUGUGUAGAGAUGUAUUAUAGAUAAUGAAUGUGUAGAGAUGUAUUAUAGAUAAUGACUGUGUAGAGAUGUAUUAUAGGUAAUGAAUGUGUAGAGAUGUAUUAUAGAUAAUGAAUGUGUAGAGAUGUAUUAUAGAUAAUGACUGUGUAGAGAUGUAUUAUAGCUAAUGAAUGUGUAGAGAUUUUGUGGUGCAGCAGAAAGAUCUCUCUUCUUCUCUCUUCAUCCUGCCUUAUCACAACCUCCUUCCUGCCUCUCUUCUUCUCUCUUCAUCCUGCCUUAUCACAACCUCCUUCCUGCCUCUCUUCUUCCCCU